CAGCACCCAGCUCAGCCCAGGACCCAGCUCAGGGCCCAGCCCAGCACCCAGCCCCGGACCCAGCUCAGGGCCCAGCCCAGCACCCAGCUCAGGGCCUAGCCCAGCCGAGGGCCUAGCUCAGGACCCAGCUCAGGACACAGCCCAGCUCAGGACCCAGCGCAUUCAGCCCGGCCCAGGUCCUGGACGUCUCGUAAAGCAGGGAGUGCUUGUGGGUUGGAUCCUGUGGCGCUUGGUGAAGUGCACAUUGGAGGAGAGGCCAGGAGAGGACCUGAGCCAUGCAGCUGUGGAAGGUAGGACCAGCCUUUCCCUGGGUGGAGCCAGUGGGUGGGUCAAGGCCAGGGGUGGGAUGUGCCACAAGUCAUACAUGGCUGGUCACAGUCCACUCAAAUCAGCAUGAGCUUCCAGCGCGUGGAGCCAGCCCACGUCCGUCCGGGGACCUAAGGCGGGUAGUGACCUGAAGUCAGCUGCGUUGGCGCCGUGGGAAGGAGCGAGCACUACAGUUGGUCCUGGCCCUUCUGAGCAUCGGUCGCUGAGCAUUUCCCAGCGCACCGCCCCUUGCAUGGAUUUACUGCACCUUAGGACAUGGAGAGAGAGGGAGAAGGAGCUCCCUGCGGGGAGCCCGAUGCAGGACUUGAUCCCAGGACCCCGGCAUCACGCCCUGGGCCAAAGGCAGACACUCACCCACAGAGCCCCCCCGGGGACCCCAAACUGUGGAUUUUAAGAGCUCAGAGCAGCAUGUGAGAAAUCUUGCAAGGCUUUACCCAUCUUAUCCGUGAGGAUGGCCCAGGAAGCUGGCAAACGCUGGAGCAGAGGCGAGCAGCGCCCGGGCAGGUGGAGAGCCCGUCCCUCCUGGCAGCAAAUCACCUCCGCCGUGGGACACAGCGGGGCUGGCGGUGGCCACAGAUCCCUCAGCCUCAGAGCUCACACACACCUUUCCAGGGCAGCGACCACACACAGAAUCCGCCAUCCAGACCAGGACACGGACGGCUUACCGGGCCCCUCCCUGCCUCCUCUCAAUGACCCUCGCAUAGGGAGCCAUGUCACCGACCUCGACCAGCACCUGCAAGCUCUGUCCUGGGGUCGAGCCCCCAUCGGGCUCCCUGCUCCGCGGGAAGCCUGUCUCUUCCUCUCCCUCUGCCCUUCUUCCUGCUAGUUCUCUCUCUCUCUCUCUCUCAAAUAAAUAAAUAAAUAAAAUCUUAAAAAAUAAACCCACCCCACUUAGGUCGUCCCUGUGCACCGGUGUCCACAGCAGCUUCACCUGCACUGCCCACACGGGGAAGCCGUCCACACAGCCUGCAGCAGGUGAACGGGUAUAUGAGCCGCAGCUCAUUGGGACUGUGGGAUAUCGCUCAGCACGAAAAAGAGGCCAUGGAAAGACAGGGUGGGAGGAGGGGGACGCGUCUUACUCAGUGAAAGAUGUAAACCUGAAAAGGCCACACACCGUGAGAUUCCAGCUCUGACCUCCUGGGAAGGGCGAGGUUACAGAGACCGUGGUUACUAGGGGCUGGGGAAGGAGGAGGGAUGAGCCAGCGGAGCAUCGAGGAUUCCUGUAGGGCAGCGACACUCCUCCGCGUGAUGCCCUCUGGAUGGAUCCACGCCGCCACACAUUUGCGCGAACCCACGAAGUGCACAACACCAGGAGUGAGCCGGCCGUGAACGGAGGGUGUGGGGUGGCUGUGAGGUGUUACCGUGGGU